AGCCGCGGUAAUACGGAGGGUGCGAGCGUUAAUCGGAAUUACUGGGCGUAAAGCGACAUGCAGGUGGUUUGUUAAGUCAGAUGUGAAAGCCCGGGGCUCAACCUCGGAAUUGCAUUUGAAACUGGCAAACUAGAGUACUGUAGAGGGGGUAGAAUUUCAGGUGUAGCGGUGAAAAUGCGUAGAGAUCUGAAGGAAUACCGGUGGCGAAGGCGGCCCCCUGGACAGAUACUGACACUCAGAUGCGAAAGCGUGGGGAGCAAACAGGAUUAGAUACCCUGGUAG
rnacentral:rRNA from 1 species